AUCUUGAGAAAAAAUUCCUGGAAAACCCAGGUCCUGACUUCCAGUCCUUGUUCUCACCACAGACUUAUCUCAGACAGAGGAGAAACUUCGUGGAGCAGUGCUACAUGCACUACGUAAAACUACCUACCAUUGGCAAGAACUGAGCUACACUGAGGGACUGAGCCUGGUGUAUAUGGCAGCAAGACUGGAUGGUGGCUUUGCAGCAGUCUCCAGAGCAUUCCAUGAGAUCCGGGCUCGAAAUCCAGCAUUUCAGCCACAGACUUUGAUGGACUUUGGCUCAGGUACUGGUUCUGUCACCUGGUGAGUAACUUUCUUCAGCCCUAUCUUGGUCAAUUUUAGCUCUAGAAAGCCAUACUUACACCACUCCAAAAUUAACAGACUGGAAAACCAGAGGGAGAAUAGGCAAGUUGGGAAUCUAUAAUGUUUCUUGCAUCAGAUUAGGCAAGGCAGAAGAAGGUAUAUGGAUUGGGGCCAGAACUUAAAGAAAUGUCAAGUGAAAAAUUAAAAAGAAAAAGAAUUAUCAAUCAAAGU
rnacentral:sRNA from 1 species